rnacentral:misc_RNA from 1 species
GAUGAAGAACGUAGCGAAAUGCGAUAAGUAGUGUGAAUUGCAGAAUUCAGUGAAUCAUCGAAUCUUUGAACGCACAUUGCGCCCCUUGGUAUUCCAUGGGGCAUGCCUGUUCGAGCGUCAUUUGUACCUUCAAGCUCUGCUUGGUGUUGGGUGUUUGUCUCGCCUCUGCGCGUAGACUCGCCUCAAAACAAUUGGCAGCCGGCGUAUUGAUUUCGGAGCGCAGUACAUCUCGCGCCUUGCACUCAUAACGACGACGUCCAAAAGUACAUUUUUACACUCUUGACCUCGGAUCAGGUAGGGAUACCCGCUGAACUUAAGCAUAUCAAUAGCGGAGGA